rnacentral:rRNA from 1 species
UGCAGACUAGGGGGCAGCAAUGUCACCGUCGCGCGGGUGCGUAACGCGUAUGCAACCUACCUAUCACAGGGGGAUAGCCUUUGGAAACAGGGAUUAAUACCGCAUAAAGCAGGGGCUCCGCAUGGAGAUAUUGCUAAAGAUUUAUCGGUGAUAGAUGGGCAUGCGUCUGAUUAGUUAGAUGGUGGGGUAACGGCCUACCAUGACGAUGAUCAGUAGGGGGCGUCAGAGCGUGGUCCCCCACACUGGCACUGAGAUACGGGCCAGACUCCUACGGGAGGCAGCAGUAGGGAAUAUUGGGCAAUGGAUGCAAGUCUGACCCAGCCAUGCCGCGUGGAGGAAGAAGGUCCUCUGGAUUGUAAACUCCUUUUUUGGGGGAAGAAGAGACACCUUGCGAGGUGUUGUGACGGUACCCUAAGAAUAAGCCACGGCUAACUACGUGCCAGCAGCCGCGGUAAUACGUAGGUGGCAAGCGUUGUCCGGAUUUAUUGGGUUUAAAGGGUGCGUAGGUGGUUUAAUAAGUCAGUGGUGAAAGCUGGUUGCUCAACAAUCAAGUUGCCAUUGAUAUUGUUAGACUUGAGAGAAGUGGAGGCUGGUGGAAUGGAUGGUGUAGCGGUGAAAUGCAUAGAUAUCAUCCAGAACGUCAAUUGCGAAGGCAGCUGGCUGUACUUUUUCUGACACUGAGGCACGAAAGUGUGGGGAU